rnacentral:rRNA from 1 species
UACGAAGGGGGCUAGCGUUGCUCGGAAUCACUGGGCGUAAAGGGCGCGUAGGCGGCCAUUCAAGUCAGAGGUGAAAGCCCAAGGCUCAACCUUGGAACUGCCUUUGAUACUGUUUGGCUUGAGACCGGUAGAGGUAAGUGGAACUGCGAGUGUAGAGGUGAAAUUCGUAGAUAUUCGCAAGAACACCAGUGGCGAAGGCGGCUCACUGGCCCGGUACUGACGCUGAUGUGCGAAAGCGUGGGGAGCAAACAGG